rnacentral:rRNA from 1 species
AACUUUCAGCAACGGAUCUCUUGGCUCUCGCAUCGAUGAAGAACGCAGCGAAUUGCGAUAUGUAAUGUGAAUUGCAGAUUUUCAGUGAAUCAUCGAAUCUUUGAACGCGCCUUGCGCUCCUUGGUAUUCCGAGGAGCAUGCCUGUUUGAGUGUCG